AAAAAAAAAAAAACAAAGAUCUUCUUUGAUGACAGUGUUCGAAACAUUGCGAGUGGGAAGGCAGCAGGACUUCAUACAGUCAUUGUGGGCAGCUCCGAACUUGUUCCAGGUGCGGACCUUGCUUUGAGUAGCAUUCACAACAUUAAAGAAGCAGUGCCUGAGAUAUGGGAAGGUGAAGGUGACAGUGGUGGAGAUCAUGAGUUGGGCCAGAUUCUUCAUCAAUCCACUGCUGUCCAAACUUUUGUCCUUGCUUAGAUAAUUAUGUACCCUUAUAAGCAACCAAUCUGAAUGAGCUCAGCCAGCUACCUCUUUAUCAAAUCAAAUUCUUCAUGCUUACAGUAGUAC